AUGGAGUGAAUAAUUUCUUUUAAACCAAGUCAAAUGACUUUAAGUAAUAAAUAGUGUCUUUUAAACUAAGCAAAACAGCCCCAUUAUCUCGACAAGAGGCAUGGAUAAUCGCAAGAGACAUGGAUAAACAAUACAUAUAUGACAAAAUACAUGGAAGAGCAAAUUGUGAGUUUACACACAUUACAAAUCAAAUAAACCUCAUCUUAUAAAAGUUGCAGACUUAAAAAGUUGCAGUCAACCAAGUUCCAUACAUUCGCCCCACAGCUGGCAUUUAGACAAGUGUUCCGGCCUGACCGCAAAAUAAAAUCUGGUACAAUCAACCAUAUAUUUUACUAAUUUACCAAAUAAAAAUUAAAAGACUAUUUAUUAAAACUUGAGCAAAUGCUAUAUGCAUAAUAUUUCAUCAUGUAAAUUGAGCAUUCUCAUAAAGGAAGAGUCUAAGGUCAACAUGAAUAAAUUCCCAAGCUUGAUGGUCAUUAUCCAUAUCUGGGUCUGCAUCCUCCAGAAAUUCUAACCAUCUCACAUAUUCUUCUUCCCAAGCUUCCGAUCAUCCCCGGACCCAGUAACAUCCACCCCAACAUUUUUACUCUUCCUCUCUUUGACUGCUUGUUUUCAAAUAACAAAUAAUAGCUCAGUGAUGAGCCAACAAUGCUUCAUGAAAUAACUUUCCACACCACGUGCAUUUUUGUUUCUCUGGCAACACAUAUUUCCUGUAUUCAGCUUCGACGGGCCAGAACCAAGAUUUGACGGGAAGCCAUGUCAAUUAUUAUUAUUCAAAGAAUUGAUCGAACCUUUAAAAAUGUGGCAAGAAGAAUUGUUUUGAUAAAUAGAGAAUCAAGAGUACUGCAUAUGAAUGUAAAAAUUUAAAUGAACGGUAGACCACGUCUCCUUUUUCCAUGGUAAGAAUCCCUUGAACGAGAUCUGUGAUCCUCCUCCACAACACGCGAUUUGCCCUUAGAUCCUGCCGAUUUGUCCCCGACCACAAUCAUCCUUGUAAGCCCGAUGAUUGUCAUAGUCAUCCUUUUCCUCCCUGUACCCAUGCUCCCUGUACUGGUGGUCCCUGUAGCGGUGCUCCCUGUACCUAUGCUCGCUGUACUGGCGGUAUCGGUUCUCCCUAUAUCCAUGCUCCCUGUCACAUGAUUGCUCUUAUCACCAGGCCUCUUAUCAGAGUCUCCUGACCAGUCACGUUCAUAUCCUUGUUCAGAUUUAUCAAGGCACCUUCCCCUCUUGGAUCCAUGAUACACCAGCACCUUGUUGCUACCUGUCAAGGUAAAGCGGCUAAUCUCAUUUACCCAUUGCGUCACUUUGGCAACCCAAAAGAUGAACUUGGUUGGGGAAAGCUCCAUCCACGGCUUAGCCAGUACAAGUGUGAUGGCUCCAACAGUCUUGCCCAUUUCCAUCUCAUCUGUAAUUAAAUGAAAAUCUAAUUACUUGAGAGCAUAAUAAUAUGAACAUAUUGAGAAAAUAUUUUCAUAAGAUAACAAUAGCAACAUUUUAUGCCAAAAAUUAAAGAAAAAUAUAAAUAUUAAAUUGACUCAUGUGUUGUGUUUGACACUUAUUUCUCAUAUAAAAUUUUAACUUGUUUUUUUCGAUAUGAAUUAUUCAAAUAUAAUUCAAGUCUUAAACUAUAUAAAAAUAAAAAUAAAUGUCCAAGUCAACAUAAUAUUAACUCAUUUACUCAAGUUUUAAUAGAUAAUUACUCCAAUUACUUUGGGAUGAGGCCUUCAUACAAACCUGAUUGGAUUUGUUUUGAGGACCUAAAUGGACUCAACUAUUUUAUAAAAGUCCAACCCAGUCAAAGUCCGUCUAGACCGGUUUUGAUCAAAAAGCCCAAUCUUUUUAGGGCCCGAUCAUAACCGAAACUCAUGGACUUUUUGUGCGUCUCUGGUGGGAACUGGGAUGGAGCCCUGCUUAAGAAAAAUUAGGCAAGGAUAUUUAAAAAGCAGUUGUUAUCUUUGCUUGAUACAUAUUUUAUCUAAAGGGGAUGCUCAUCCACCAAAUUCUUGUGAAGGAAAAUAGUAACACUAUUGAUAAGAUGAUGAGUAUACUCCACUUGAAUUUCCAAUCAUCCUCCAUAAACUAAGUGCAAACUUUUUUAAAGAAGCAUUGUUUCUCACACUACUACACAUGAUCAAGUUUCUAUGGACAACUCUGUGUUGAUUAUUUCCGAAGUAACUCUGUGAAAUUCCAAUACCCACACCUCCAAAAAAUUUUAAUUAAUCACUCUACUAGAUAUUUCUUAGUAUAAUGAUUUUAUAUAAUAAUAUAAAUAUUACGAAUUGACGAGUUGAGGAUAGUUUCGAACUCAUCUAUUAUGACUAAAUUUAAAUCUAUUAUGACAAUAUUAACAUUCGAUAAGGAAGCAUAACUAAAAGAUAUCAUACGUGUAAUGAUGCUUCAUAAUUAUAGAUGUAUUAGCGAGUUCAAUCAUGGUAGAAUCUGUGAAUUCCGUUCUCAAAUGCUGAAUAAACUCAUUAGCAUAAACACUAUCAAAUCAAUACCCAUGGAAACAAGUUCAUAUCAUAAAUCGAUGUAUAGAUGAUAAAUCUCUAUGUUGAGCAAAUCGACUAAUGUAAAUUGUAUCAAGAUUUGUUUCAAACUUAUAGUGCCUCUUGACGGCCGCCACAAACAUGCAUAAUUUUGAUCCUAGGGUUUUAUUGGGCUUCGACAAGCCCAGUAUCUCUUCAUAUGGGCUUAAAUAUAUGUUUUAUAUGUAGAAAUAAGAAUUGAUAUUUUUUAUCAUAAAACAAUAAUUUUCCAUAUAUAAAAUAAACAAGAUUCUUACAAAAUAUAUAAUUAUAAAAACGAUACUUAUAUUUAGAGUAAAGUGUACUUUGUGUGCAUGUAUUUGACUCUGAAAUCACUUUUAAUAUUAGAAUUUAAAAAUAAUUUAUUGAAAAUUCAAAUUUUGAAAGUCGAUACAGAAUGCGCAAUUCCAUCUAUCUUAAUUAAUUCCUUUAGAUUUUGUAGGGGAUUUGCAGCUUUACAUUUCUCUAACGGCUCUAUGGUCUAUUUAAUUGAGUAGACAGACCUAAAAUAUUUUUACACUCUCCCUUUCUUUCUUCAGUUGUCCUAAAACUAAGGCUAACUCAUUCCUCCCAAUUCCUCUUCUAACUUUCCAUAUUGAUACCUGACGAAGUUACUUUAUACAAGUCUUGAUCAAUUCGGAAUCACUCACAAUUCCAUAAAAAAAAUGGCCACCACGUAUACUAUUUUCUAAUUAUUUGUCGGGUUCGUUCCUAAUAUAUAUAUAUAUAUAUAUAUAUAUAUAUAUAUAUAUAUAUAUAUUUUUAAAAAAAGACACUAACAAUCUUUAUAAGAAAAANUGUAUGUAUGUAUGUAUGUAUGUAUGUAUCUAUAUAUAUAGGCCAGUGAUCAAAUAGAAACCAAUGUUAUUCUAGAAACUAUAAACCACUCCUUGAAUCACUGUUUAUAACUACAGAAAUCACUAGUUUCUCUGCUGUUAAUCACUAAUUUAUACAGUAUAUUCAUCAGUUUUUUAUUUUUGAUGAAAAUUUACUUAGGUACUGUUUGGCGUUGCCGUUGUAGACAGCAACAGCAGCUUUUUGCUAAAAACAGGUGAAAAAACUGUUUGGUAAAUUUAAAAUCAGCUUUUCUGAACAGCAGUUUUUGGCCAAAAAGCUGCUUUUAGAAAAGGCAGGUUCUCCCAUGCUUUUGGAAAAAGCUGUUUUUCAGCUUUUACAAGAAGCUGUUACAGAUUUCGAUAUCAAAUUGCACCAAAAACAUUAUUUUUUUUAUAUUAUAACCCAAAAUAAACACAUAUAAAAGAAAUUACCAAACAGUUAUCUGAUUUUCUACAACAGUUUUUUUACCAGCACUUUUUCUGGCAGCACAGCAAUUUAUAACAGCACUCCCAAACAGAUACUUAGGAUUGACAUUGGUGGUCGAUUAAUGAUGAUCAAUUAUAGUUGUAGAAGGUCUAUGAUGGUAGAAUAUGGCGGGAUGAGGUGUGUGGUGAUGAUAGAUAGUCAGUAGUAGUAGAAAGUUAUGAUGACAAACGGUGAUAGGCAAUUCAUGGUUGUAAGUGAAGGCGGCAGCAGUGGAAGGGGUUGAUUAUGAUGCCGGGAGUUUCAUCAAUGUAGUAUAAUUGAAGAUGAUGAUUAUAUACGUUGUAUAUAUGUGUAUUUAUAUAUCUAUAUUUGUCAGAUUUUGCAUAUAUAAAUUAGUGAUUUCUGAUAUACAAAUGAAUGAUUUUUGUUGUUAAGAACAUUGAUGAAAAACUGGCCAGGGACUAGUUUCUAGUUUCUAGCCUAAUUUAGUUUCUAGUGGACUAAGCCCAUAUAUAUAUUAUAUAAUUUAAGUUCAACACUUUUUUAACAUAUUUUGUUGAACAUCGAUUAAAAUCAUGUCGGAGAAGUACAUAAACUAAUUUUUCAAUGUAAAAAAUAUGUUAAACAUGUUAAUUAACUAAUCCCCACCCAAAUCCUAGAGGUAUAGUUUAAGCAUCUUUAUGACAUAUUCAACACAAUGUUAAUUAGUGUUCUACACCCGAAUACCCGAUGUUGAACCCCAGUUACAAAUGUGUUGAAUGCACGAUUUAUUCAUGCUUUAUUUUUAAAAAUUGUGAUGUUUUUUCAAGAAUUUUCAACAUGGAUACUUUCUAUAACUAAGGACUAUAACUAAGGAUUAACACGAUGAGAGAAUAAAAAAAAGUUUGUAAGUUUGUAACUUAAAAAAGUUUUAUUUGAUCAUAUCCCUAUAUAUAUAUAUAUAUAUAUAUAACAUUCCAGAGGGGGACUCCUUAUAAGGAGUUACAUAGUGCGCCACCAUAAAUCAUCAAUUUUAUUAUAAAUUUAGUAAUAGAAUACAUAUAAAACGUGAUUCUAAUAUAGAAUACUAUAAAAUAUAUCUAUUUUCGAAACUAAUUCUACAACAGAAUAAUUCUAAUAUAAAAUGUUUGAGACCAAAUCGAAAAAGCGCCUGAACAUAAUGGGUGCAAAGUGUCAAUCAUUAUAUUUCAAAAAGCGCUUUUUUGAUUUGGUCUUAAACAAUGUUUUUUGGCAGUAUGCAUCCUAAAGUUCGAAAAGCGCUUCGUUUUGUACCCCUUUGACCACUUUCUGUUUAAUUGACCGUUAAAGUUAACAGAUGUGAGGUUUACACUUUGCACCCCAUGAUUAUAAUUUUUUUUCAUGAGUAUUUUGAAAUAUUUUUUUUCAUGAAUCGGAAAAUUGUUUAUCAUUUCCACCCUGGUUUAAAUCUUCCAAUCUGACAAUUAGAAUAUUCAACAAUUUUGGCCAAGUGACAACGAUUAUAAUGAUAGUUACCACAGACGACAAUUCUCCUUACUCAUAUUAAACGCUUGUUUCACAAACAAAGAGCGCAAAAUAUUAAAAAUUAUCAUUUUUCUGGCAUUUCAGCAAUGACGACUUGGAAGGGAAAAUUUGAAUUAUCACUGAAUCAUACAAUAUAGAAAACAUAUAUAGUAAUUUUAGGGUUCUCAAACUAGCUAGUAGACUCAUGUCAACACUGCAUCUAUGAUGUUUUUCUUUCUAUAACAAGAUUACAUACCAGGCUACAGCCAUCCAACUGGAUGGCAACAAAUCAGUGCUUCUCACAGUUAUCAGGCUUGGAUUUUCUUGAGCAGGACUUUUGAUCAGCAUUGGAAAGUUGAUUCAUAAGCACACAAAGGUAAUUAUUAUAUUAUAUAUUCCUUGUCAAAAAGUAAAGAACAAAGACAAUAACUUGCAUGUAACUAAUGGAAAAGAGACAAGAGUUUGUUUUUUUGCUAAGUACAGAAGAGAUAGAGUGUUUACUUUAUCAAAGAAUGGAACCCUGGUAUACCGAUUCUGAUUAUCAUAAUAUUCAAAAUGACGGUUGAUCAAGCAAACCUCCUUUCGCUUAUGGUCAGUGCUUGAAUAUGAUCCAGAAGAGGAAUCACGAAACUUGCUAUUACCAGAGGUGUUACUUGAAGACCUAAGGACCUCAUUAUGCUUGCUCUCGGCGCUCCAAGAUUUAGUAGUACCAUUACAAGAUCCAUUACCAACAGUACUAUCAACUUUCUUUAUUCUACAGUAAACAAAUGUAUAAUGAUGAACUUGAUUAGCAAUCUCUAUGUAGCAUCUAUAAAUCACUUACCAAGUCAGAAAUUACUAAUUAGGAAAGAGAAAUUAUUUAUAAAUACCCUUCGUUUAUGGUAAACAAUAAUAAUAUCCUGGCAGACGAAAAUGAUAAACAGUUUUUUAUUCAUGAAAAAAAAAAUUCAAAAUACCCAUUAAAAAAAAUUAAAAUUAUGAGGUGCAAAGUGAAAAUCCCACAUCUGUUAACUUUAACGGUCAAUUAAACGGAGAGUGGUCAAAGGGGUGCAAAACGAAGCGCUUUUCAAACUUUAGGAUGCAUACUGCCAAAACAAAUUGUUUGAGACCAAAUCGAAAAAGCGCCUAAACAUAAGGGGUGCAAAGUGUCAAUCACUUAAUAUUUUAAUUACAAAAAUCAGCGGAAUUAUCUUUUCUCUAAUUAGUUUUAUAGCUAUAGUUUUUAAUCUUUGAUUGAUACAUAAGUAAUCUGACGGGGAUGCUACCCGUCUAAUCCUUAUGAUGGAUAAUACUCAAUACCUGUUGAUAAGAUUAUUAAUCUAGUCCAUUUGACUUUUAAAUCAUAAUCCUCCUUAAACGAAGUACAAACUUUUUGGAAGAAGAGUUGUAUUUUACACCACUACAUAUGAUCAAGUUUCUAAGGACAACUAUGUAUUGAUUAUGGAAUAGGUAAUAUAACUCAGUGAAAUUCCACCCACACAUCCAAAAUUUUGUGACUAAUCACUCUAUAUAUCACAUCUUUCUUCGUAUAAGGAUAUUAUAUUAUAAAGAUUAUGAAUUGACGAGUUAAGGGUAUUUUCGAACACAUCUAUUUAUCUCUAAAUUCAAUUUUGAAUGACAAUAUUAACAUUCUGGCAUUUAAGGGAUGAAAUUUGAUAACGAAGCAUUAUGAUCUCAACUAAAAGAUAUCAUACCUUCAGAUUGUAGAUGUAUUAGCGAGUUCGAUCAUGAUGGAAUCUGCGUAUUCCUUUCCCAAACGCCGAAUAAAAUCAUUAACGUGAAGACUGUAAAAACAAUAUCAAUGAAAACAAGUCGAGAUCAUCACUCAAUGUUAUAGUUCAUCAAAUCUCUAUGUUGAACAAAUAUACUGAUGUAAAUUGUAUGAACAUCUGUUUCUUACUUAUGGUGGCUACUGAGGGCGGCAUCAAAUGUGUUAUAUGUGAUUUUCAUCCUAGGGUUUGUUGGGCUUUGACAAGCCCAAUAUCUCUUGAUAUGGGUUUAAAUAUAUCCCUUUCAUGUAGAAAUAAGAAUAUACAUUUUUUUAAUAAACAUGAUUUUUACAUACUUUAUAAUUGUAAAUGAUAUUUAUAUAAAAACCUUACCAAAGAAUACUCAUUCUUCAUUGUUAAUAGUGGACAAUCUAUUUUAGAUUUGGUUAAAUUAUCAUAUAAGUUUUGUGUGAUAAAUGAAAAAACGAAAUUUUAGCACUUUGCAUCCCUUAUAUUUGGGCCUUUUUUCCAUUGUGGUCUCAUACUUUAAUUCUUUACACUUCGCACCUCAUAGUUUAAAAAUCAUUGCAAUUUGCACCAUUUUAACAGAGUUCCAUUAAAAGAAUAAAAAACCCGUUAAAAAUAAAAAAAUUCAGUUUGCACCUGUUGGGGAAAAAAUUGUAUUUAAAUAAAAUAGAUUUAAUUUAAAAAAUAAUAAAAUCUAACAUAUUUCGGGUAAAAAGGAUGAUUAAUAAAAAAAAUGUUUUCAUUAUUCCCCUCUGAUUGUCUCAUCUAUAGCAAAAAGGAAAAUUGAUUAAUCUUCAUUCUUAAAUAGAUUUUCGUGAAUUAUAGUAUUAUUAUUUGCAACAAUCAAUCGUUCUAUUGUUGAGUUAUCAUCCUCACAUAACAAAUAUUACCUCGGUUGUGGAUAAAAAAAAAGGCUAUGACAUCAUAAUUGUGCUUAAAUUUUGAAAGUUUCGAGUUUUAACUCUAGGUCAUGAAUAUAACCAUGGCCAUUGACAUUCACACAAAUGCCAAAGAUGAAACCCAUAACUGAGCUCUGAGCUCCUCUUAAAUUCCACGGCAUGGAAGACACGCCUAAGAAAACUAUCCGGCACAUAAAUGUGGAACAUGUGUAAACCACAAAGUUUUUACUUGAGGUAAAAGAUAUAUAAUGGCCUUUAGAAUGAUAGAAUGAUGAACAUCAAAGAUAAUAUAAGAUAAGGCUCUUUGAUGAAUAUUUCUUUAAAAGGUUUCUGAUUCCAUGGUUGAAGAACUUUAUGACCAAUCUCCUUGUAGUGAGUUGAGCAUUGGUCAUAUCAACUACUGGAUCAAGCCCUCAGAAUUAACAAAGGCAAGACUUGUUAGUCUAUACUUAAUAAAGAAAAGAAAAUAAAACAUAUAGCAUUAUCUUUUCUGAUUUAUAGUCUCAUUUUGAGAUAUUAACUAAGGUUGAAUACAGAUCUACUUGCAAACACUACAAGAAAAACAGGGUCAUACAACGGUUUAUCACCGUUGUCUGUCAUAUCAGGAUUCCGUUGAAUAUCGAGGCGAUAUCUGAUUAAGUGUCACACAAUGGUUAUUCAACAGUUGUUGAAACGAGAUUGCCACAAUGGUUUCAGAACACUUGUUUGAAAGAACAUGACACAACAACUUGUAAAAGAAAACCGGUUGUUGAAACCACUUAACACAAUAGUGUAGUGGAAGAAAUACUUGUAUGAAAUAUUUUCACACGACAGUUUUUUAAUGUAACCUUUGUUUGUUUGCUUAUAUACAAGUGUUUUAUAGAAAUGCACAAUUGUUUGGAAGCUCAAGCACAAUGUCAAAGUUUAUUUACACGGUUGUACUUAUUAUACACACACAAUGGUUUAACAUAUAAAAACUGUGAUCUGAAAGCUUAGCUGCAACAAUUUAGAUCCAAAACUCAGUUUUUUUUAUUUAACACACAAUGGUUUAUAUAACUUAAAACAAUUGUUUUAAAGUGUAUGCAGAACAGUAUAGUUCAUACCAAAUGUUAUUUUUAGUUUAGUUACACAAUGGUUUAGCAAAUAAUCCAUUGUUUCUGUUUCUUCAUAAAAGGUGGUUUACUAGUUUUUGAUAUACAACUUGUCCUCAUGCAUUUACAAAAAUAUCAAAUACAACAACUACAUGAAAAAUUAAUUUGAUCAUGUCAAGCUACCAUCAAAUUCUUGAAAUAUUUACAGUAUCUCUAUGUCUUCAGUGAUUGCUUGGUUGAAUUAAUGUGACCAUUAGGAGCAGAAACAUCUUUCUUCCUUGUUCCAUAUUCUCAGCUGGUAUCAGCCCAUGAAGGCUGAAAAAGAAAAUAGUAGUGACUAAGUGAUUAACUAAUAUUGAAUGAUUUUACCACGUCAAUACAACAAAGUAUUACGUACUUUAACUAUAGGACAAUAUCAAUCAGUUUGUUAAGUUUUUUUCAGUGAAGAUUAUAAACAUCGAAUAGUAUGUGUACCACAUAUAAUCUCUUUCCCUAUUCAUUCCAAAGGUUAUCUAGUUCACAAAUUCUAUUGUUGGACAUCCUACUAUACCAAAGUGCAUCUCCAGGUGCCAUUAAUAUAUAUUCAAGGAUAACAAGAAUUAGCACAUCAAAAUAUUCAAGUAAUUUUUGUGAUAGAUAAGUCAAAACAAAUACAAAACUCAAGAUUUCCAUUAAUAAACAAGUGAUUUCUCUUAAGAUUUUAACAGAAUGGAGCUACCUCAAAGCCAGAGAGUUGCUCCUUAGUAAAUUUAAUGGUCAAACUGGUAACAACGACAGCAUUGUUAAGCUCUUGCAGCUUGCUGUUGAACAUAAACAAGUGCCCUGCUCUUACCAACAUCAUUCUGUGUGAAUAUAAAGUUGCUAGACAAAUCCAACAAUUCACCAUUGCCUUUGUCAUGCAGGGUCACGGACUUGAAACCAAGUAUAAGAUUCUUUGCUACAUUAGAUUAGAAGAAUAUAUUCAAUAACAAAUUUAAAAUUAUUCAACUUAAAAAGUUUCGGAAAAUUAGAUAGACAUAUGAGGUCAUUUUUAGUCCCAAGAUGGGCAGACACCCUGGACCAUAUAUGCUAAUAUGUAAAAAAAAUAAAAACAUAAAUCAAUAGGCAUGUUUACUAUGAGAAACACAUACUUACCAUAGGCAUAUAUCCCUAUAAGAGGAUUCUCCUGCAAUUUCAUAGAACAAAAAAAUGUCAUAACUUAAUGGUAAAAUGUGAACAUGGGAAUAUACUUUGUUCGAAACAAUCACAAUUACAAAAUACCGGUUAAUACCUAUCAUAAUUAGUGAGUAUCAACAAGCCCCAAAUCCAAAUCUCUAACUUACAUAAUAAUAUAGCCACAAAUCGAAGCCAUAAUUCACUGAACAAGCUCCAAAUCGAAAAUCCAAAUCGAGGAAGCACUGAAAUCAAAGAGAGAGAUAAGUUAAUUGAAGUUUCACCGAUUAAACUCAAAAAUGAAGAACCCUAAGCUGAAAAAGCCUCAUCCGAAAUCUUCAAAAUGGAACACAGAUCAAUCGAGAAGUCUAAAUUUGAAACAAAAUACAUACUACUUCGAAGAAAUUAAAGAAUUUGAAGAGACUUUUACAAGAGAUAGUUGUACAAGAGAGNUUGUUACAGGUGUUUGGUUUUUGUUUAAAAGUCAUACCAAGUUGAAAUGGUUGUCCGGUGUUUUCUUCGUGAUGUCAAUAAAAAAUAUAAUCGAUAUAUACAUUUAUCAUCAUUGAACUGUUAUUGUUCAUUUUUUUUUUAUUUUUUUUUUGUCACAAGAUACUUUCACGUAUGAUGAAUUGUAUCAGAAUACAAUAGCCGCUCCCAGGAGUUCCUUUCGUUCAAGAAAGUUUACCAUCUAACCCUCGGACAUGCAGAGAUGACCGGGGACGUUUAGACAAUAAAGCUUUAAUGUUCGAUAAGAAAACACCCAUAAAAGGUCCCGUUAUCGUUUUUUCUUUCACCUCGCGUACCCUGAAAAAUACAAUACAAAUAAAAACCAUAAUAAGUUCAUACAGACAAUAGAAUAGUAAAACUAUAUAAAACGAAAGACGAAAACAGUCAACAAACUCAUUAAAAGGUAUGAAUAUAAUAUAAAUUUUUAAAGAAUAAGGAAAGUAAUAUAAAAACUAAUAUAAAACAAAUUAUUACAAAAAUCUACACCAAAGAAUAAGGAAAGUAAUAUAAAAACUAAUAUUAUUAUAAAUAUAUAUUUAAUUUUUUUGAGACUUUGAAAUAAAAAAAUUUGCAUCUUAUAAUAUAUAAUAAUUUUUAAGUUAAUUAUGUUUAUUAUUAUGCAUAAAAAAUUAUGCAUCUUAUUUUAGUGACAUACAAAAAUAAUCUAAAAAUAAUAAAUUUAUUUUGUACGACUUAUUAAGAAAGAUCUAAUGAAAUUACUAAAUCCCUAAAACUUGACUCGUGCCAGAUUAAUAGAAAUAUUUUUUAAAAUAAAUUUUUCACCGAUCUAACCGUACGGAUGUUAUAGCCACUCAUUUUAGUCAUGCAAAAAAAUAAUCAAAAAAAAAUAAAUUUAUCUUGCUUAACUUUUUAUUGAAAUUCUAGUAAAAUUACAAUUCCCCAAAACAGAAUUUGUAACUGAUUAAAUGAAAUAUUAGUUGAAAUAAAUUUUUCAAUGAUCCAACCGGACGGAUGUUAAUACCCACUCAUUUUAGUCUUUUACUAAAAUAAUCAAAAAAUAAAAAGUUGAUCUUGUACAACUUUUUAAUAAAAAUCUAGUAAAAUUACUAGUCUCUAAAAUGAGAAUGGUGCCGGAUUGACUGAAAUAUUUUUUGAAAUGAAUUUUUCAACCAUCCAACCGUAAGGAUGUUAAUACCCACUUAUUUUAUUCAUGUACAAAAAUAAUCAAAAAAUAAUAAAUUUAUAUUGUAUGACUUUUUAAUAAAAAUCAAAUAAUGUUACUAUUCCCUUACAUGAGACUCGUGCCAGAUUAACUGAAAUAUUUUUUGAAAUAAAUUUUUCAAUGAUCCAACCGUACAGAUGUUAAUACUCACUUAUUUUUGUCAUGUAGAAAAAUAAUCAAAAAUAAUAAAUUUAUCUUAUAAAACUUUUUAAUAAAAAUCUAGUAAAAGUACUAGUCUCUAGAACAAGAUUCGUGCCAGAUUAACUGAAAUUUUUUUUUUGAAAUGAAUUUUUCAACGAUCCAACCGUACUGAUGUUAAUACCCACUUAUUUUAUUCAUGUACAAAAUCCAUCAAAAAAUAAUAAAUUUAUCUUUUAUGACUUUUUAAUAAAUAUCUAGGAAAAAAACUAGUCCCCAAAACAGGAUCGUACCAGAUGAACUGAAAAUAUUUUUUUCAAAUGAAUUUUUCAAUGAUCCAACCGUACGGAUGUUAAUAUCCACUUAUUUUAGUCAUGUACAAAAUUAAUCAAAAAAUAAUAAAUUUAUUUUGUAUGACUUUUUAAUAUAUAUCUGGUAAAAAUACUAGUCCCCAAAACAGGACUAACUGAAAUAUUUUUUAAAAUGAAUUUUUCAAUGAUCCAACCGUACGGAUGUUAAUAUCCACUUAUUUUAGUCAUGUACAAAAUUAAUCAAAAAAUAAUAAAUUUAUUUUGUAUGACUUUUUAAUAAAAAUACAGUAAAAAUACUAGUCCCCAAAACAGGAUUAACUGAAAUAUUUUUUAAAAUGAAUUUUUCAACUAUCUAACCCUAUAUAUGUUAAUACCCACUUAUUUUAGUCAUGUACAAAAAUAAUCAAAAAAUAAUAAAUUUAUAUUUAUCUUGUACGACUUUUUAAAAAAAUGCUAGUAAAAUUACGAGUCCCUAAAAUAGAUAUUGUGCCACAUUCGUUGAAUUAUUUUGAUAAAAAUCCGUUGUUUCCUUAAUGAACCUUCUAGAAUAAGGUCUAAAGACAAAAGUUAUUUCAUUAAAGAUUGUUGUCUCAUCUUUCCUAGAAAGUUCUAGAACGAGUCUUUUAGACAACGGUUUUCUAUGGGAAAAUAUUCUCUGAGAAAAUCUGUGACAACAUUUCUUUUGACAAAAACCGUUGUGUAAGCGUAUCAACGUUUUUUAAUCUGAUGACGACUGAUUUUAAAUCUCCUUUCAAUCAACGGCUCUCAACGCACCAUCUCAGCAAUCCAAGUGAUAGUCUUAUGACUAAUCAUAUGGUGCCACCUCAUCAUGUGGUGUCUAUCGAAAUUCUAAAAGAGUUAUUUCAGACAACUGUUUCCAUCCCGUUGUGUGAUAUUGUAUAGGACAAUACAUUCGAAAAACCAUUUUACAAACUUUUUAAUUUGCACAACACAGUUUCAAAAAGGCUUGUCUAAUUCAUUAAUUAGACAAUUGUUUUGAAACCGUUGUAGUGAUGUUUAUUAGACAAUGUUAUUUUUUUUUAAUGAAAUGUAACCGCUGUGUGAAUUACACAACAUCGCGUUAAAAACCAUUGUCUUAACGAUCUAUAUUCACAACGGUUACUAGACCAUUGUGUCAACAAUGUCACACAACACUUUCAAAAAUAAAGCUUGUCUGUCAAGUUUUGAAGAUUACCACAUAGACAAUAGUUUACGUAACUAAUGUCUAUUCCGCUCUCAGACAACGGUAUGUUAAGGAAAAAUAUUUCUCCGUUGUAUGUCAGAUUGGCACAACGGAAUUUUUCCAAACCGCUGUGUAAUGUGUGUUGUCUGAGGCUGUUUUUCUUGUAGUGAAAAUGAAUUAUUAAGUUAUAACAUCUAACUUCUAGCAGAAUCAUAAAUUACUCAAUAUUUUGAGGAUUCGAACUAUGCAGACCAUGAUGGUUAAUCUAGGAAGUAGACCCAUCAGUAAUCUCACAACUUCAACAUAUUUGCAGGUAUCUACAAAUUCAAUUGAAUGCACAUGUUCAGCUGCUAGUUUUCGUUUCUCUUGUAUUUGUUAGAAAAUUGCAAAUAAAAAUAAUAUUUGCAGGUGAAUUGCCUUCAUAUUUUCCUAUAAUUUUAAUGGUAUCAAAAUUUUAUAUUUAUUAAUAUAGUAAUAUAUGGAGCCAUGAGGCCCUGGGCGAUGACUAAUUUUCCGCUGUUGAGUUGUUCAUGUAUUAUUUCAAUGAUUAUUUUUACCCCAAAUAUUUUCUCAUGACCUAUUUGAGUUAUAAUACUGAAAUGAGUAAAGAUGAUAAUUAAGAACUUAUUAUGUUUCUCUUCCGUGUUAAGUUGACUCGUGAUUAUAUUGAAGCUAAAGUUGUCUUAGAUUUUAUGGACUACAAUAAUCGUUGUGCGGCAUGUUUUUAAGUGACGUGCUUCCUAUUUUGGGGUCUUAGAAUCAUUUGAUACUUAUCCUGUUAUUUUUUUUUUUUUUUGGUCAGUAUACUUAGCGUGUUAAUUAUUUUAAUAAUGAGUCUUGAUACCGAUACCCCCACUACAUGUUUAUGAUGCAAUUGUCUCUAAUGUUAUCUAUUAUUUCUUAUAAGUGCAAUGACAUUAGAUUAUAAAAAAGUUGCAAUUAUAUCUUAGAUUCUAAUAUUUUAAUACCCUGAAUAUGAUUUUGAUCAGUCACGUUAAUGUUAUGGAUGUUGUUGCGAUGGAAUGCACGUCUCAAAACAAUAUAUUAAAACAUUUUUAAACUUAUUUUAAAAACAAUGUGGUGAAGAAGUGUCACAAAACACUAUUAUGUGUAUUGUGUUUGUGGACAACACACACCGUGUAUACUUUCAUAUCAAAAAGGGACAAUACAUACAAUCUACAUUUUAUUAUAUUUUGUACAUUGAUAUUCUACACGAAAACUUGAGAUUUACAAAUAUGAUCACCUUGGAAGCCAUGUGAGGAAGUUUACAAGUCUUCCACAGGAGAUGCUCUAUCCACACAAAUGCUAAAGGCGAACCCCAUAAGUGAGCUGUCUGAGAGCUCCUCUAUUUAAGCUUGUGGACCCUGUAUUCACCUUGUUGCCAAUCCUCUCUAAAUCCACGACAUGGAAGACACGCCUAAGAAGCUUUUUUACUCUAAAACAAAAGAUCAUGUUAUGUUAUGUUAAGUAGGUUUCUCCUCCCGUUUGUAAUGUCAUUAUGUAUAAAUGAUCAUUACAAUACUGUAUAUCUUUGAAGCUUCCAUUGUAUGCCCAGUUUUAUAAGCAAACGAAGCACACGAAGACGCAAUUGAUUAAAUGGCGAAGCUCCUGCACAUGGCAUGGCAUCCAAGUGAAAAAGUACCGUGCAAACAGCUUGUUCAUGUAUUAUGCAUAAAAUAAGGAUCUUGACUGGAGAAAACCUGUUCCAAACAUCCGAAGGUUUAGUUAAUGCAUGCUCAUAUGUGUAGAUUCCCCCUCUUUAUUGUCCAAGUUUGAGACAGUUGCCUCGCGUAAUAUCUACAAUAAACUUGUGUUAUCGGUGUACCUCUCAUAUCAAAGUAGAGAUGUAGUUGCUUUACUCUAGUGAGGAGGUAUGACUGAAUAUGAGGGGAAAUUCUCCUGAACUGCUCUAACAAAAGAAUGCUGCUUCUACAAACUACAUUGUCUUCAAACUCCUCGGCUUUUUUUUUUGUGUAAAAGCCUUAUAGUGCAUCUAAAACCAGUUUUCCAGGCUCCAUUAAUUUCCCAAGUGCCUCAUAAACUUCAUCAGACAUUGAAUCAAGAUCCCCUUUAUGGUUGACCAAAUACAAGAGCAAGUUGUUUCCAUCCAUCGUAACAGAAAAUCUUAUAUCUGCAUAAGAACCAUCAUCGCUCCAUGGCUCGGGUUUUACAAUCGAGAACUCAAUGCUGCUGGACUUUUUUGUUUUUAUUUCUAGUUCCUUUAUCUUCUCUUCCAUCUUUUCCUCCCCAGCUCAAGUUUUCUGCAUCUUUCUUCACCCGGAAUUUGUACCAAAUUAAUCUCCCUUUUCAUUUCAAGCUCAACCCAAGCUUUAUUAUACGAAUUCGAAUCAUCUCCUUAGAUAUAACCCUUUUCUCCAUCUCUGUCACAUCUAACUUGACUAAAACCUCCUCAAAUCAGCCUUCAAGCGAACCCUUAAACCUAGUAACCUCCUUCAUCUCGGAACAGAACUUCUCAAACAUUCAAAAAUGAAUAUAAUUAAAAUGACAUGAGAGCAAUAAAUUAUGAAUUGAUUAUUAGUUACAAAACCAUCAUAAAACUCAUCUUUUAACUCAAUGUAGAAAUUUAAAUCACUUGAUUCUAUUUAUGGCUAAAUUCAAUUUUGUAUGACAAUAUUAACAUUGUGGCACUCUAAGGGAUGAAAUUCGAUAAAGAAGCAUUAUCAUCUCAACUAAAAGAUAACAUACCUGCAAUGAUGCUUAGUAAUUGUAGAUGUAUUAGCGAGUUCGAUCAUGAUAGAAUCCGUGUAUUCCCUUCCCAAACGCUGAAUAAAAUCAUUAGCAUGAAGAUUAUAAAAUCAAUAUCGAUGAAAACAAGUCUGGAUCAUAACUCAAUGUAUAGUUGAUCAAAUCUCUAUAUUGAACAAAUCUGCUAAUGUAAAUUUUGUGAACACUCAUGCCUAUCCACGGCGCCAUCAAAUAUGUUAUAUGUGAUUUUCAUCCUAGGGUUUACUGGGCUUUGACAAGCCCGAUAUCUCUUUAUAUACAUGGACUUAAAUAUAUCUUUUCUAUGUAGAAAUAAGAAUAUAUAUACUUUUUAGGGUCGCGCUCAAGAGAGAACCACUCCCUAAAAUAGAACCAUAGAACCACUAGGGUUCUGCUGCAGAAUCCAAAAUUUUAAAUAGAUUUUUAGGAUCUAAAUCUAAAAUACAUGUUUUGUUCAUGUUUUUUCAUCGUUAUGGUUCUCUCUCUAAUGGUUCUCUUUGGAACAUGACCCAUACUUUUUAUAGUAAACAUGAUUAUCAAAUACCUUAUAUUUGUAAACCAUAUCUACUUAUCAAUACUAUACUAUAAUAAGCCAACAUAGGUAUAAUUUGUAGUACUUCCCAUUUUUUGGUUUCGUCUCACGUUUUUCGGUUUCUUCUAUCUGCUAUACUAAUGUUUAAAAACCGUUUCUUACACCUCUCUCCCAACACCUAUUAAGACUCUCUCAGAGAGAGACUCUCUCCCAACAAAGAUUGACGCAGCAGGAGUGAGUUACAGACGAAUCAACAGGAACAAUAGGAGGAGGAGAAGCAGUGGUUCGCCAUCAGAAGCUUUGUCUCUCAAUUGAUAUAGACAAGCGUCGAAUUUACGGGUCUCUCUAUCUCUCUCCCCCUCUCUCUCUCUCUCCCUCCCUCUCUGGCUCUCUCCCUUUUGAACCAUCAGAAGCUUUGUCUCUCAAUUGAUAUAGGAAACGGUCGAAUUUACGGGUCUCUAUGUCUCUCUCUCUCCCCCUCUGGCUCUCUCCCCUUUAAACUCUAUUCAUCUAUUUGCUCGAAUUCGUUAGUACAAUCUCUCUCUCUCCCUCUCUCUCUCCCCCCCUUCCUUCCUCCCUCUCUCCCCUUUAAUACUCUAUUAAGCUAUUUGCUCGAAUUCGUUAGUACAAUUUGUUAAUUUGCUUUUUUUGGUGAUUGAUACGCCCCUGUUUUCAUGUCCUGAAUUUCUUUUUUUCACCUCAUACUACUUUACUAUCAUCACUAUGAUUUUAAUAGUUGAAAAAACUUUCUACGCUUUUACUAUGUUUAAUGUUGGCUUUAUUAGAAAUAUAUACAAGAUAGAGAUGAUCUUGCUAAUUUUGUGUGUUUCAUGUUGUUUAGUUACACAGAGCUUCAGGUGGUUGUUCCUGAAAAUAGAGCUUUCUAUUUACCUGUGUAGAAAUCUUAGUCGCAAUCAACUAGAGGGCCAGCUAAAUGACAUGUUUGGAUCGCUUUCAGCUCUCUCUACUUUGUAAGAUUGCUCAUGUCCAGUUUCAUACACGUUAAUGUUCUUUCGUUAUGAUUUUUUUUGAUGGAUUUACUUUUUUGUAAAUUUGAGUUUUGUUUAUUUAUUCAUACCGGGAACCGAAAGUGCAGCAUACUGGCCACCUUUCUCUCAUGAAAUUUUCUUUGUGUUGAUCUACAUUGCAAGGACAUUUCAAUUUCUCACUUUCCAGGAGUUAAAUUUUUGCUUUGCUUUGCUUGACACAAUGACAUAUGUAAUCUUCCUUGAACCAGGGUAUCUCUUUAAAUUCCAUGACAGGUGAUCUUCCUGAAAGUUUUGCCGCUCUUUCAAGCAUGGCCAAUAUGUAAGUAUAUUGUCAUAGUUUUAGUAUCUAAAUUUAUAAGAUUUUUUUGUGUUCAAAGAUAUUUGUUGUGCAGGAAUUUGCAAAACAACCAGUUUACAGGCUCUAUUGAUGUCCUUUCUAAUCUUCCCCAACAUAAUCUGUGAGUGAUACAAGUCUAUUACUUAUAAAGUGUUUUCAAUUGUUGUACUAAUAAGUUGAUUGUAUCUACAAUCUCAGGAAUAUUGGAAAUAACCAUUUCAGCGGUUGGAUUCCUGAAAGAUUAAAAAACAUAAAUAUUUAGUAAGACAUUCUCACAUCAAUCGUCUUACAAUGGUCUUAAUCAAGUAGGGGAUUUUAUUUUUAAACAGUAUAUACAUGAUUAUUCUAACAGGACAGAGGGCAACUCAUGGAGUUCCGGUCCUGCACCACCUCCUCUACCUGGAACUCCUCCAUCCAGCAGUAGCAACCGAAAUAGAAAACAAAAUGACAAUAAAAACUCAUCAGAUGGUGGUGGAAGCAAGAAAUCAGGUAUAGGCGGUGGUGGUGUGGCAGGAAUUGUGAUAUCCAUUUUAGUUGUUGGAGCCGUGGUUGCAUUCUUUGUAGUGAAGAAAAGGUCCGAAAAAUCAUCUGCAGAUGUAGAGAACGCUGGUAGUCAGCCUUUCACUUCUUACGCUUCACAAGAAGUCCAAGGUACAAAUCUUCUCCAUCCAAUAGAAAAGACUUGCUUAACAUCUUUUUUCAACUAGUCUUAUCAUUUUUCUCAGAAUCCCACCUCCGACAAUCAUAGACCUGAAAUUACACUCUUAAGAUAUGACAUCAAUAAUAGAAGACCACUCUAUAUAUUUCAGCUAUAUAGGUAUAUUUAGGUAUUACCAUUAGUUUAGUUUAUCACUGUUGACUGCCUGAGGACUGUUCUGUUUAGUUUGCAUAUCAGGAUAUGUCCUGUUCUUUUGUUAUUGUAAUAUGUAUUGUAUUGUAAUCUGAAUUCUAUUUUGCAUACCAGUCUGCCACUGUGAUUUCAGUUUGAUUUAUAUCUAACUGCUAGACUUUGAUUCAGUUUCUUUUCUAUUUAACAGAUAUGCUUUGAUCUUGAAGAUUUCUAUUAACUGCUUGACUGUCCUGGAUUUCAAGUCUGCCACUGUGCUUGACUGUCCUGGCUUGGCUUAUAUUCAAAAUUCUAUUUAACAGCCUGGGGACUAUUCUGAUGCUUUUUUAUUUUUAGUUUAUAGGUUGGCCUUCCUUGUCUUCUGCAGGUUCUGGAUAGAAUCUCUAAUUCCAGCAAAUGCUACCAGGAAUUCUGCCGCAUCACCAAGCCUUCAGACCUGGAAAUUUUGAUCUGGAUAAGAGAGGUAUGUAGAACGUACGUAAUCAUACAUUAGCCAGUAAGUUGAUUUUGUCGAUACCAUCUUAGCUCAAAUUACACUUGUAGUUGCCCAGAAGUGUGAUUUUUCUGAUCUUUAUGCAUAUGAAUCUAUCUGAUAUUUCUGAACUUACGUGACACUACAUGAAUGAGAAUCCUGUGUGAGAGUAGUUUACUUUUAAAAUUAGACCAAAGAACUAGAAAGGUUUGAUUUCUUAUAAAAAAAUACUUUCCCUGAAAUAUUGUAUUAGUCCUUCCACUUUGUUUUUCACAAUUUUUUCAGGAUUUGUGUUAAGUUCACUUUGUUAGUCCGGAUGGUAAACAUAUUGCUGUUGCUCUUCUGGAUUGUACUGUAAAGGUUAGAUUUUUUUUUUUUGUUCAGAAUGUUCUUUGCUUCUUUUCCUUCACUACUGUAAUCUGUUUUUUGCUUGCCACCUUGUUUAACUAAAAUAUUUGAGUUUGGUCUGAUGUAUCUUCUAUUACAGGCUGUAGAAGAUUACGAGAAAUCCUUGAGUAGGAAUAACAGCCGCAAAUGGAUUGUACAGGCAUGUACUUCUGGUAGAUUAAUUUGCUAGCAUAGGACACAGUGUAAUGGUCAGGGAAGGUUUUUUUUUGUCAUAGUGGAUGAAUUGUGCCGAAGUUUAUCAUCUAACCAAAGAUAUGUCCCCGGACAUUUAGAUAAUAAAACAUUCAAGUAUGAAAAUAGAACCAAAGGAACAUGAAAAAAACAACAAAACUGAUGUCAGAAUAAUAAUUAUAUUAAACUAAAAAUAAUAAUUAUAAAAAUAAUUAAAGAGAUACUACUAUUAAAAUCUCUAAGAAAAUAAAAUAAAUAAUUAAAUUAAAAAAUUAUAUAUCUAAUAAAUUAUAUAUCUAAUACGGACAACGAAUUUGAUAAUAGAUAAAAUAUUAUAAAAAUAUUAAUUUGCUAGCAUAGGACACAGUGUCAUAGUCCGGGAAUGCUUUCUUUUGGGAUGUAAAAAAAGAUUUUUUCCAACAAAAAUAUUAAUUUGCCAACAUCUUUUAUUAUUUGGUUUUAAAACCGAACCGGACCAUUUCAAACCAAUACCGAAUUAAGAAAACCAAACCGCACCAUUAUUAUUUGGUUUGGUUUUGGUUUUUGAUUUUAGAAACCGAAUAAAUAUGGUUACAGUGCGGUUUUUGGUUCAAACCGCACCAAAACGAACCACGCUCAUCCCUAACCAUUACUAGCUUAUAUCUCGUGCUUAGUGGUAUAAUAAAGUUUUAAUUUUUAAUUAUUUUUGAUGUGGCCUUCUAUAAUAAAUCUAGAUAAUUAGGCUUAUUGAUGUGCUUGAAUUAAUAUAUUUAAAUAAGUCUGGUAAAAUUAUUUUUAAUACUUGGAUGUGUUACAAUAUAUUGGAAUAUAAAUUAUGCCUAGGUUAAAUAUUUUUAAUAUUUAAAUGUGUUUUAAUAAAAAUAAAAUAGGGCUAUUUUUUAAAAUGAAAAGGCCCGUCAACAGGCCCAAGUAUGGACCGGCCAAAACUUUUAAUAUUUUGGCUUUAAAAAUUUACUAGCUUAUAUGCAGUGCGAUGCACAAAGAAUUUUUAAUAUUUGUUAACUUUUAUUUAUGUUUUAUUUUUUAUACAUUUAAUUUUGUUCUACAGAUGUAUUUGUGUUAGAAUUCUAUGUUUCACUUUUUUAUGUUAGUCUUGAGGAUGUCCUUGGAUUAAUAUAAUUUUAUUAGGCCCGUUAAUAUAUGUAAAUAUAUAGGCCCAACAAAUGUGUUUAAAUUAUAAUAUAUGAAGAUAUUGUAAUUAAAGUAGGUUUGACCUAAUUGAAUAAGUUUUAAAAUAAAGAAGCCCGUAAAUAGGCCCAAAUACCAACGAGAUUAUAUACUGACCAGAAAUAAUGGAGUUUUUGAAUGACCUUUGAUACUCACCAUUAUAUGACUUAUCAGCUCCAUCAUAAAGUCUAAAGCCCCAUCAUAAAGUCUAAAGCCCAUUUGGUUGGAAGGAAAGGAAUGAGGUGGUAACAAAAUGAAAAGUUGAAAAAAAUAUAGAUAAGCAGCAAAGCAUGUAGGAGGAAGAGUGAAAAAGAUUAUAGUGCAAAAUUUUUAUGAUGAGGUUUGAGAAGAACCUGAGUAUAGAAAAGAAUGGAAAUUUCAUUCUCAAAUUAAUGAGUUUGAGGUCUACCUUAAAUUUAUAGGUAUAGAAUGGAGAGGGAAUGGAAAAUUUAAAUUUAACAAUUAAAUAGUAGUAUAGUACAAUAUCCCAUCAAAAUUUCCGUUGAAUCCAUCCAAAAAUAGCAUAAGUUAAUUGCAGUAAAUGUUUAGUUAAUCAACAUUUUGCACCAGGAACCAUUGCAAAGAAGAAGAAAAGUGUAGCUAAUUUCCACAUAACCCCAUUUCAUAUUUGUGUUCAUAAUUGCUUUUGUAUUCCAAGUUCUGGCCUCUAAUUUGUGACAUAACUCUAACAUUUGUUUAUAUGUGAUAUAAUAUAUUUCAAGAUACGAUUGUAAUAUUGAUAAAUUGUGUAAUUUUGUUUAUAUUUAGUGUAAAAUAUGAUGAAGUAGAAUUUAAAUAAAUUGAUGGAUUACAAAGAGUAAAAAUUGGCUUUCAGAGGUCAACAGGUUGUUGAUUUUCUUAUGGAGGAUAUUCUGUAUGACUAUCAUCUCUAAUCCUAUGUAAACAGGUUGGUGCAAUGGCCCAUGGGAAAAUUGAAAAGGAGUUUGUAGACGAUUUUAUAUAAAGUAAGUUGUUUUGAACUUGUAUAUUAUUGCAUCCUCUGUGACUGGAUUUUGAUAAACUCAUAUGUCCUGUUUUUUUCCCUUAUUAAUUAUAUCUACCUUGGUUGCUCAGUUUCUAGCUACCCAUUGAGUGCGGCAUAUUGUAUAUCAAAGAUCACAAAUGCUUUGGAACGGAAAUGGAAAAUUCUGUAACUCAUUGAUUCAAGAGUCUUGCAGUUUGGCCAAGAUAUAAGCAAUGGCAUACACUUUCUGUAUAUCCAUUAAAUUUUAGUUUGUUGUGUUUUUUGGCAUCUGGAUAUUUGGCUGUUGUUUGCAAUGAGUAAUAUACCCUUUCCGUCCCAUAAUUUAUACCCUUUCCAAUGUCGUUUUCACUAAUGUUCUUCAUAACUUAGCUCCAACCUUUCAUAUUCAUUCUAUCUCUCCCACCAAACUAGAUAACUAGAUCCAGACAUAUUUGAGUUCAAGAAGGGUGCCAUUUAAUCUUUGUUGAUCAGUUGAUACACCUUGUUUGUUUUAUUUUAGUGAUAUAUAUGUGACACAUAAUCAAACCAUUUGCUACGAUGAUCUUAUUAGUCAUUCUAAAGAUGAUACACCGCAUUGCUUUGCCACUGCAUUAGAUUUCCAAGAGUACGGGGAGGACAAGUGAUAUAAGACAACCUCUCUGUCAAUUCAGAAAAUUUUCACCAAGUCUUUCAUUUUCUAAAGGUUAAUAUCAGACAAGAUACAAGAUUAAGUUGGAACAUACUGUUAAAGAGAGAAAGAACCUAGGUAAUACAUGUAGCAAAUAUGCUAAGUCAGCAAGGGUACUGUUUCACUACAAUCGACAUGGUGUGCAAAUGAUAAAUGGAAAAUUUAGGUUAUUUGAUAAGGUUGAUUUACUGCUCUGGAACAUAAUGUCAUUUCUUCAAUGUUUCCUCCAACAUUUGGUUUAGUCUUAUACACCAUACAUUGCUUUACCACUCAUUGAUAUCGCCUCAGUGAUAUCGCCUCCUGGUUACUGACACCUGUUAUUUGACUGCUCUGCUACCGGAAUGAUUGUUAAUGCCUUCAUAGAGUUAUAGAAAGCUUGGCGUCUUUAAACAGCUACAGGAUUUAAAUCCUACCAGCUCUUCUUCAAAAGCUACAUUUUUUUGGCAGCCAGUGAUGCAUACUAGACCUUCCCUUAAAUUGUUGAAUUUUCCGCAAUCGAGUUGCUUAUUCAAUAGUAAUAAAAUUAACGAGAACAUUGCAGAAGUUCGACCCACCUGCAUGGACUCAAGCUUUGCUCUUGAAACUCUCCAUCAAUGACCUGCAAGUUCUACCUGCACACAUGAAUAUAUAAAUCUGUUAGUUCACCUUCUCCACACAUUAGACAAACAAGAAUACAGUUAUUGACAAAGAACUCUGGAGACAUCAUCCUUAUUGUCGUAGCAAUUUUCAAUAUUAUCAUGUAUAGUAAUAUUAAGAAAAAAUUCACAUAUGGGUAUUAAAAACAUUUUAAUAACUAAAUUUUUUAAAUGAAUAGAUUUUUUUCCAAUAACUAACAAUUUCAGCUCAAUAUUUUAAUAUAACUAAUCUUUUUUCAAAUACAAUAGUAUCAUGUGCUAUGCAAUCAUAUUAAUCUUAUAAAUACUCACAUUAACGGGUUAUAAGCUAGUAUAUAUAAUAGCCCAACAGGACUCGAACUCAGGAACUCUCCGAUACAAAUACAUCACUCAAACCACUUGAACUGCACAAACAAUUAGUUUGUUAUUAAAAGCAUUAACCACAUACUUUAAAACUUUUGUAUUUAUAUUUGUUUCAAUAUCUUAUUUAUUUGAGAUAAGUUAUUAUUUCAGUUAAGUCUCAUAUAUUGUUUACAUGAUAGAUUAAUAUCUAAAAAUUGAAAAAAAAAAUGUGAAUAAUCGGGUUCGAGUCAUGAUUCAGAUUUCUAAAAAUAGAUUUAAUUCAUAUUCGAUUAAAAAUGAACAAAUUCAAAUCUAAGUUAAUAGUUUAAACGAGCACCGAUACAAUAUUAUAGAAAUUUUAAGUAUUGAAUGUGGGAAAUAAGCACAAAAACUGAGGUUUAAGCGAGCAUCUUUGAAAGGAAUAAUUGAUGGGCUUUUCAACAUGGACUAUGUCAUAUUAAUUUCUUUUAUUAUAAAGGCGAUUUAUAAAGAGAUUACAAUAUUUUGGAGAACACGAAAUAAGGUGAUUGAAAGAAUAUUCCUAUUUAGAAUAAUUUUUUUAUUUUAAACUUAUGAAUUCAUAAUUUGAUGUGCAACUAAAUCUUUUUUUAAAAAAAAAUUAUAGAUAUAAGAAUAGUGACAAUACAACAAAUUUGGUGUCAGAAAAUAUAUCUAAAUGAUGUAAUUUUGAUGAUAUAUGUAUUUGAAAUACUAUAACUUGUCGAAGGUGAAUUUAGGGAAAUUCUAUAUUGUUAAUCAAAAUUCAACCAUAUGAUAAUAAAACGCGUUUACGAGAACUACUAAAAAGAUUUGAGUUAUAAAUUUUACUUGGUUAAAUAAAAUAACACAGAGAAAUAAGUUAUAUAUAUUAAAAUCUUAAACCUAUAAUUUUUAAUAUGCCAUCAUUCAAUAUAUAACAUACCAGUUAAAUAAAAUGAUUCAAACUACAAUUAAAUUAAUCAUUUACAAAUUAAACUAAUAAAAUACAAUUAAUUCUGAACCGGAUAAUCUGACGCGAUACGGUGAAAACUAAUAUCUGAUUAAACGGGACUAGAACAAGAAUAGUUUUUUCAUAAUUCAAAAUAUCAAAUAUAUGACUUGAUCUUUAACAAUUGAACAUGAUAUGCCACACUGAUCACUCCUAAUAAAUACGAGUAUCAAAAUAUUUAAAAGUGUAAGUUUGCACAAAGCUAAAAAAGUAACCACACGACUAAUUGAACUAAAUAUUUCAUGGUUUUAUGAAAUUCAUGAUGCCUAACUCAUAUCUACUCUCUUUUUGCUAUUUGAAAUUCCAGAAAAUCAUUUGUUUGGGAUCUGGUUUAUAACGAUUACAUGAAAAAUCAUUAAAAGUCCUAAUCGACAAGAUCAAAAAAUUAAUUAUAAAAAAUUAAAAUUUUAUAAUGAGAUAAUGUUAUAACAUACUGUAUCAAAGUAAUAAUCAUCUAAUAUUUUUAAAUUAACAAUAAUAAUAUAAUACGUUGAAGUACUAAAUAAUUAAUAUGCAAAAUUAAAGGACAAGACACAUCAAAGGUGUCAGAAAUUUUUGGGGUGCAAUAAUACGGUUAGUAUUUUAUAAUAAAAUAAGGUAUGUGUUUUUUUACAUACAACAUAUGUUUCGAUUUUUAUUUAUACAAAAUGUGUGCAACAUAUGCUAAAAAGAAUGUGUUGAUGAUCUGCUCCAUUAUGUAUCACUCUAACAAUUAUGCAAAUAUACACUCAAAAAAGAAGAAAUAUAUGUAAGGCAACGCGGACCACACAUCUUCAUUUAAUCAUGAUUGAGGAUAUCGUAAUUCACAUAUCAAGAACAAGUUUUCAUCAAAAUCAUGGUAUAUUAGUUGAAAUAAUUUAAAAUUUUCAACAAUAAAUUACUGAUACUUUUAAUGGGGUAUAAUAUAUCUAAAAUCUCUUGACAAAAAAAAAAAUAUAUCUAAAAUCUAAACUUUCAGUAUUAAUUUCGAAUAUAAUUUUGAACAUAGAUAAUAUGAUAAUGGUCUUUAUAUCCUAACGAAUUUGAAUAUAGAAAUAUCAGUUCAAAUGUACUUUUUGAUCCAUAAAUUUUUUUAAAAAUAUACUCCCUUCAUCCCAUUUUAAGUGACCUUAUUUGACUUUCACGGAAAUUAAGAAAAAAGUAGUAAAAAAAGAGUAAAUUUAGGUGGAAACUGGGUAAAGUGGUGGAACAUAUCAAAAUUUAAUAAUAGAUUUGAGAUAGUGGAGGUAAGUAGUGAGUGUAAAAUAGUGUUUAUUUAAUAUAAAAUAGUAUAAAAUAGAGAAGUAGUGGGUGUAAUAGUGAAAAGUAGUGUUUAAAAAUAGUAAGUAUAAUAAGUUCAUUAUUUUAAAGAUGUCCCCAAAAGGAAUAAGGGUCAUAUAAAAUGGGACAGAGAGAAUAAUACUUAUUAUUACUAUUAAUGCUAUUAGGUUGCAAAUAUUACAUUUUUCAUAUUUACAUAUAUUGUCAAAAAAUAAAACGUAAUAGUUACCGUUCAAAACAAUAUGAUGACACACGGAUAUUAUUUAAAACACAAUACAAACUCAAGGCCCGUAUGAGAACAAUAUGAUGACACAUGAAUAUUAUUUAAAACACAGCAAAAACAAGAGCCCCGUGCCUCGCACGGGCUUUUAUGCUAGUUUAUAUAAAAAAAAUGUGACAAAAUAACUACUCAUUAUUUAUUGUAGAUAGAGGACCAUCAAUUUGAUUUUGGUUAAUUUAUUAUAUGAGUUUUGUGUAAUAAAUUAAAAAAUGUAAAUUUUAGAACUAAAAAUGUAAACCACUAUAUUUAAACUUUCUUAAUUAACAUCACUCAAUUGAAUUUUAUAGGGAAAAAAAAUUUAGUAAGAAUAAUAUUUUCAGUAUUAAUAUUUUUUUAAUUUUUUGUUGCUUCAACUAUCUGUAAUAAAAUUCAGCUGCAAAUUUUCUUUAGCAAAAUAUAAGUAUCAAUCACAAUCUUUGUUUACAAGUGUUACAAGAUAUUGAUUAUAUAUCCAAUCGAAAGCAAUCUCACUGACAUGAUUCAACCUAGGCCUGUCAACGGACCUGAGCUCUGACUCGGUCCGAUCCGAUCCGGAGCCUUUUUAAAGAAAAUGGAUUCGUAAGAAAAAAAAUCCGAUCUGAAAUUUGAUCCAGAAUUCGAAAAAUUAUCAUAAUGAUUUUUUAUCCUUCUAAAAUGACUUUCAUUUGUAUUUGUGUUUAGAUUUUUAAUAUUAUGUUGGAGUUUGUAUUCUAAACUUCGAAUAUUGCUAUUCAGUUACUUCGUUUUUAAUUUCAAGAGAUCUUAUAAUUGUUCAAUUUUUAAGACUUUCAAAUCUAAGUAAAAAAAAUCAUAGAAAGUUAAAUGGAUCCGGAUAUCCGAUCCGUGAUCCUAAAGGAUCCGGAUAUGGAUCGGCCUAUAAAAAAUCCAGUCCUGAUCCUAUCCGAAUCCGAUAAAAUAAAUGGAUAUAGAUAUCAAUUUAGGCUGAUCCGAUCUGAACCCGAUCUAUUACAGGCAUCAUUCAACCUACAAACUUUUCUAAAUUUAAUUAAAGAAAGAUUACUAACUAUUAAACUAACAUAUAUACAUUUUAUUUUUAAGCUUGGACAAUCCUCUAGAUAUAAUUUUUCAUUAUCCUCAAAUGUCAAACUUUUUCCUGUAUUUUUUCAGUUCUUGUCGUAGUCUGUACAUAUCUGCUACUAGUAUAGUUUACAUGUAACUUAUACUUUUAAACAAGGCACAUGAAUAUACACAAUUUCCAUUCAUCUAACAGUAGAAUAUUUCUCGUACACUUAUUUUUGUCAUAGCUUGAGGUGAAUAUUGUCAAACUCCCCAUACUGCAUUAUCAUUUCUUCUACUCAUAUUGUACCCACUUUUGCCAAAUCUUUAGUUAUGAGAUAUAUAAAAAAAAAAAAUUGAUCAAAUAUAAGUAGUCCUUGUUUUAUUUCCAAUAUUAUGUUGAAGGGCAUGAAACUCACGUCAUCGUCCAUUGUAAAUGUACAAUCAACCAUUCAUUCUUCCUUAUGUGUAUCAUGACUCUAGAUUCGACCUGACAUGUGUCUAAACAUAUCAAUAAACUUUUACAUAUAUUUAAAUUAUUAUCUCACAACGUUAUGAUGAUUUAGACCAUAUUGUCAUAACAACUAGUUACAUGAACCGUAAUUUGACAUGGACAAUGUGAUAACUUAGUAUUUUUCAUUCUAAGAAAUGUUACAAGCUCAAAUUUCAUUUUUAAUGACCCAAUAUAUCUAAUAAUCUCUCCUGAUUUGUGAUUAUGCAAAUAGGUGUUAAUUUAAUCAAUAUCACAACUUAAAACUAAAUUAAGAUAAAUCAGAAAUAAUUAAAAUUUUAAUUAUUUUGAGUGCAAUUACAACUGGAAAAAAUAUCACAAGACCUGCUGGUACUAAUUGUUGGGUUUAAAAAAACGUAGAACUGUUAGAUCUCAAAUAACGUAGAAAUGUGGUUAAAUAAGUUUUUAGAAGAUUUUUUUAUUUCAAUUUCGAAUAAUUGAAUCAAGUGCGAAAAUCUUUGAAAAAACACAAUUCAUUGAAAUAUCAUUUUAAUGAUAAACUAUGAGCGUGCUACAAAUUAUAAUUUGAUAAAUUAGCUGGAAAUGAUCUCAUUUAUAAAUUACCAAGUUUAUCCAAAAAAUAAAGUAAAAUUUAUUAUCCACUAAGGAAGUUUUUACUUAUAAGUAAUGCCCUCUCUGUAUUUGAAUAUCUGCCUUUUAACUUUUUAACUAGAAAUGUUAUUUUCAAAUUUUUUUUUAAGAAUAAAACUAUUAAUGUUGUUAGGAAUAUGACAAAAUUGAUUAUAAGUCAAAACACUUUGUGUAUCUUUUACUUGUAUUUUAAUUGUAGCUGAUCAACGGAUGGCAUACACAUUGUAGUAUCCGUUGAUCAGAUAGAUCAUUAGUAGAUGUGGCACUGUAACAACAAAACUAGUACUUUUCAUUUUAGCAAUUAAUAGUAUUUAGUCAAUCAAUUGAUAAUGUAAUUAUUCUAUCAACGAAUAUGCAAUUAGGGUGAUCAAUUAUAAAUAUUUUAAGCCAUGUAAAUUGCAUAAGUGAAGUGAAUAUCAACGACUAAUCAAAACAUGACGGAUGAGGAAUAAAUAACUACCAAUUGAUAUUCUACCCGUCAACUAUUAAAUGCAAAACGAACUGUCAGCUGAUAAUUCAAGAAUUCAUCAACAUCUACUAAAUUAGCACAUCAACUGCUAAUUUAGUUCUUAUUAAUUAACAGCAACGAUCAAAGAAAGGACAGUAGUCACAUGGGUUGAACAGAUAAAAGGUAGAACUGUUUUGGAAGCUAAGCUAUAAAAAGACUUGGUCAUAUGUUGAAAACUUCAAAACCUACCAAUUCUAGCAAUACAACAAAAAAAAUAUACAAUCAUGCUUUCUGUCAUAGAAGACAAAUAUUUUCCAAAAAUGUGGAUGUAAAGAUUGGAGUAAGAGACUGUUGCUAUAGACUUGGAUAGAAAAAUAACUGAUCUCUUGAUAUAUAUUCAUCACAUUUUAUUUUUCAUUUCAAGGUAUCAAUUGGAGUAGCAACUGAAAUGCAACCUAGAACAAAUUAGGAAGAAAAAUCGAUAAAGAUUAACACUUCAAAUCUUGUAAGCAGCCAUGUAAAUUUACUUGGGAGGUUCUUCAAUAUAGAAAAUCCUCAGGUGGAGAAAAAUAAUCCACCAAAAUUCUGAGAAGCAUCUUGUUCAUAAUUUCUAUUUAUGCAAAAAAAAAUUAUAAUGUUUGCUUUUGAAUACAUUUCUAGUUCGAAAAAGUUGAUAAAUUUUUUAGAUUGUAUUCAACCCCCUUCUGCAAUCUAACCUCAUUGUUUGUAAUGUUAAAUAACAAAUGUGAUAUUUUUAUUUAGAAAAGAAAAUUGAAAAUUAUAUAUUUGACUAUAUCGUCAAAGCACUUUUUUUUUUUUUGUCAAGGUCUACAUACUCGUAGAUGAGUUGUAUCUCGAGAUACAAUAAGCCGCUACAGGGAAUUUCAUUCAUUCAAAAAAGAUUAUCAUCUAACCGAAAGACAUGCAAAGAUAUCUCCGGACACUUAGAUAAUAAUGCUUUAAUGUCUGAUAGGAAAAUACCCAAUUAACACCUCCCAAGGAUCCUGCAAAAAAACACACGAAAAAAAAAGAAGAUAAGUUCAUAUACAAAAUUAUAUAAGUUAAAAAUUAUAAAGGAUAAUAUAUCCAAUAAUUAAGUAUUAUAGAAGUGUGUUUUUAUAUUUCUGAAGUUGAAAAAUUAGAAUAAAGUCUAACCAAAGAAGGAUCUUUGGUUAGACACUAAAAUAAUUAAAUAUAUUUGAUUGCUUCUUACAAGCCAAAAUAUACGCCAUCAUUUAUUGCCACCCAUGAAUGGUACAAAUUCGCCUCAAUCAAGGCACAAUUAACAAUUAAAUCAUUUAUAAAAAAAUUAUGACAUCAAUCAAUUCAAUUUAAAAGAGUCAAUCACUACUUAAUGUAAUAUCUCACCAUAAUAUGAAUUUAUUACAGUCGAAUAAAAUUAAUGAAUUUAAAACAUAUAGAAAAUAUAUUUAUUAGCAAUUACUCGGUAAACAAAGAUUCAAAAAUCAGCAUUAAUCAAACAAGUCAAAUAAAAUUCAAAAAUUAGCACAAAUUAAGCAAGUCAACUAGAGAUUUAAUAUAACUAAAAUUAAAUACAUCAUUUACUACUAUUAAAGCCAAUAAAAUAAAUUAAAAAUGGCACCAAUUAUACCAAACAAACCUUAAAUCAUGCAAGAGAAUUAUUCAAUAAUAUAUUAUUUCAAAAUCACAGUAAGUGAUAGCACCAUCUCAUCGACAUUGAAGCACUUUUGUCACCAACAGUAACGAUAUACAAACUCUAACUCUUACAAACUCAAAAAACACAAUUGCAAAUAAACUUGACGAACUAUCCCAACGAACCAACAUUGAAUAAAUUUUUUUUCACACAUUUCAUUGGAGAAAUUAGAAGAAAAAAAAAACAAGUAAUCACAAAACCAAUCAAAUAUUAAUAAAAACAAAUGAUAAUCUUAAGGUGUAAACUAGCAAGAGUUAGUGCACAAGAAACUUAAACUUUUAAACAAGAAAUAAUCCUUCAAAAGACUAUGGCGAUUAACCAAAACAACUAUAGUACUAGUCUUCAACAUCUCAUAACAAAGUGAUCGAGAAAAAAUAACAAGUAGCAGAUACAUGAAUUCAAGACUGUCAAAAUUCACGUCUACAUCUAACACUUAUAAACAUAAAACCCAACAAAAUCAAUAUAAUAAUAAAUCUUCAAAAGUUUAAAAUAGCGUACCUUGAUUGUGGUGUAAAUACACACAAAAAACAUUCAUAAAAUGACAAAAGGCUAAAGAAAAACAUGUUAAAACAUCGAUCAGUAAUCAUGUAGCAAUAUCUUCUAGUCAUCAUAUUCCCCAUGUUCCGAUGAAUUGAAUCUCAGAUCCAACAUCUUUGUUUCCCGCUGUGAAAGUAUAUUACUUUUGAUCCAAAAGGAAAUUUUGAAUCCUGAAUCAGGUCGAAAUACCACAAUAGCCGAAAAGAGAGAGAGGGGGGAGAGAGGGGGAGGGAGAGAGAUAACCUCUCAUGUGUACAAUUUUAAGUAAACAAGUAGCGAGAUUCAUACAAUUGCCUAUUCCAAAUUGAUGUCCACUAGUGGGAGAGAAUCGUUUUCUGUAAUCUGUCCCCUCGUUCAGUUGUGUAGUAGAUCACCAACUCAUAAACCUUGAUACACUAGCAUCGUCAAAGCACUUUAAUAUACCUACUAAAAAACUAAAAGACAGAUAUUUAAGAAUGGAGUGAAUAAUUUCUUUUAAACCAAGUCAAAUGACUUUAAGUAAUAAACAGCGUCUUUUAAACUAAGCAAAACAGCCCCAUUAUCUCGACAAGAGGCAUGGAUAAUCGCAAGAGACAUGGAUAAACAAUACAUAUAUGACAAAAUACAUGGAAGAGCAAAUUGUGAGCUUACACACAUUACAAAUCAAAUAAACCUCAUCUUAUAAAAGUUGCAGACUUAAAAAGUUGCAGUCAACCAAGUUCCAUACACUCGCCCCACAGCUGGCAUUUAGACAAGUGUUCCGGC
rnacentral:lncRNA from 1 species